rnacentral:rRNA from 1 species
UACGGGGGGUGCAAGCGUUGUCCGGAAUCACUGGGCGUAAAGGGCGCGUAGGUGGUCUUGUAAGUCUGUGGUGAAAGCCCGGGGCUCAACCCCGGGUCUGCCGCGGAUACUGCGAGACUUGAGUACUGUAGAGGCAGGUAGAAUAUCGGGUGUAGCGGUGGAAUGCGUAGAGAUCCGAUAGAAGACCGGUGGCGAAGGCGGCCUGCUGGGCAGUAACUGACACUGAGGAGCGAAAGCGUGGGGAGCGAACAGG